GACGAACGCUGGCGGCGUGCUUAACACAUGCAAGUCGUACGGUAAGGCCCUUUCGGGGGUACACGAGUGGCGAACGGGUGAGUAACACGUGAGUAACCUGCCCUCAACUUUGGGAUAACGCUAGGAAACUGGUGCUAAUACUGGAUAUGUGCUCCUGCUGCAUGGUGGGGGUUGGAAAGCUCCGGCGGUUGUGGAUGGACUCGCGGCCUAUCAGCUUGUUGGUGGGGUAGUGGCCUACCAAGGCGGCGACGGGUAGCCGGCCUGAGAGGGUGACCGGCCACAUUGGGACUGAGAUACGGCCCAGACUCCUACGGGAGGCAGCAGUGGGGAAUAUUGCACAAUGGGCGCAAGCCUGAUGCAGCAACGCCGCGUGCGGGAUGACGGCCUUCGGGUUGUAAACCGCUUUCAGCAGGGACGAAGCUUUUUGUGACGGUACCUGCAGAAGAAGCACCGGCUAACUACGUG
rnacentral:rRNA from 1 species